rnacentral:rRNA from 1 species
UGGCGGACGGGGGAGUAAUGUCUGGGAAACUGCCCGAUGGAGGGGGGUAACUACUGGAAACGGUAGCUAAUACCGCAUAACGUCGCAAGACCAAAGAGGGGACCUUCGGGCCUCUUGCCAUCGGAUGUGCCCAGAUGGGAUUAGCUAGUAGGUGGGGUAACGGCUCACCUAGGCGACGAUCCCUAGCUGGUCUGAGAGGAUGACCAGCCACACUGGAACUGAGACACGGCCCAG